AACGAACGCUGGCGGCAUGCCUAACACAUGCAAGUCGAACGAGACCUUCGGGUCUAGUGGCGCACGGGUGCGUAACGCGUGGGAACCUGCCCUUAGGUUCGGAAUAACUCCCCGAAAGGGGUGCUAAUACCGGAUAAUGUCUUCGGACCAAUGAUUUAUCGCCUUUGGAUGGGCCCGCGUUGGAUUAGCUAGUUGGUAGGGUAAAAGCCUACCAAGGCGACGAUCCAUAGCUGGUCUGAGAGGAUGAUCAGCCACACUGGGACUGAGACACGGCCCAGACUCCUACGGGAGGGAGCAGUGGGGAAUAUUGGACAAUGGGCGAAAGACUGAUCCAGCAAUGCCGCGUGAGUGAUGAAGGCCUUAGGGUUGUAAAGCUCUUUUACCCGGGAUGAUAAUGACAGUACCGGGAGAAUAAGCUCCGGCUAACUCCGUG
rnacentral:rRNA from 1 species